UACCUACGGGUGGCAGCAGUGGGGAAUAUUGCACAAUGGGGGAAACCCUGAUGCAGCGAUGCCGCGUGGGUGAAGAAGCACUUCGGUAUGUAAAGCUCUAUCAGCAGGGAAGAAAAUGACGGUACCUGACUAAGAAGCCCCGGCUAACUACGUGCCAGCAGCCGCGGUAAUACGUAGGGGGCAAGCGUUAUCCGGAUUUACUGGGUGUAAAGGGAGCGCAGACGGCGGCGCAAGUCUGGUGUGAAAUCCCAUGGCUUAACCAUGGAACUGCUUUGGAAACUG
rnacentral:rRNA from 1 species